GUGUGUGUGUGUGUGUGUGUGUGUGUGUGUGAGAGAGAGAGAGGUGUGGAAAAAGGGCCGUGUCCCACCUAAAUUGGGGUAGGGAGCUGUGGGCCACCUUCUUUACUCUCAAGGAAGCUGUGUGUGUGUGUGUGUGUGUGUGUGUGUGUGUGUGUGUGUGUGUGUGUGUGUGUGUGUGUGUGUGUGUGUGUGUGUGUGUGUGAGAGAGAGAGAGGUGUGGAAAAAGGGCCGUGUCCCACCUAAAUUGGGGUAGGGAGCUGUGGGCCACCUUCUUUACUCUCAAGGAAGCUGUGUGUGUGUGUGUGUGUGUGUGUGUGUGUGUGUGUGUGUGUGUGUGUGAGAGAGAGAGAGGUGUGGAAAAAGGGCCGUGUCCCACCUAAAUUGGGGUAGGGAGCUGUGGGCCACCUUCUUUACUCUCAAGGAAGCUGUGUGUGUGUGUGUGUGUGUGUGUGUGUGUGUGUGUGUGUGUGUGUGUGUGUGUGUGUGUGUGUGUGUGUGUGUGUGUGUGUGUGUGUGAGAGAGAGAGAGGUGUGGAAAAAGGGCCGUGUCCCACCUAAAUUGGGGUAGGGAGCUGUGGGCCACCUUCUUUACUCUCAAGGAAGCUGUGUGUGUGUGUGUGUGUGUGUGUGUGUGUGUGUGUGUGUGUGAGAGAGAGAGAGGUGUGGAAAAAGGGCCGUGUCCCACCUAAAUUGGGGUAGGGAGCUGUGGGCCACCUUCUUUACUCUCAAGGAAGCUGUGUGUGUGUGUGUGUGUGUGUGUGUGUGUGUGUGUGUGUGUGUGUGUGUGUGUGUGUGUGUG